CCUACGGGUGGCAGCAGUGAGGAAUAUUGGUCAAUGGACGAGAGUCUGAACCAGCCAAGUAGCGUGAAGGAUGACUGCCCUAUGGGUUGUAAACUUCUCUUAUAUGGGAAUAAAAUGUUCCACGUGUGGGAUUUUGUAUGUACCAUAUGAAUAAGGAUCGGCUAACUCCGUGCCAGCAGCCGCGGUAAUACGGAGGAUCCGAGCGUUAUCCGGAUUUAUUGGGUUUAAAGGGGGCGUAGGUGGAUUGUUAAGUCAGUUGUGAAAGUUUGCGGCUCAACCGUAAAAUUGCAGUUGAAACUGGCAGUCUUGAGUACAGUAGAGGUGGGCGGAAUGCGUGGUGUAGCGGUGAAAUGCUUAGAUAUCACGAAGAACUCCGAUUGCGAAGGCAGUUCACUGGACUGCAACUGACACUGAGGCUCGAAAGUGUGGGUAUCAAACAGGAUUAGAUACCCGGGUAGUC
rnacentral:rRNA from 1 species